GCACUGCUGAGGAGUCUUGCAAUAGGACGAAACGGCCGUCCGGUGC
rnacentral:hammerhead_ribozyme from 1 species